rnacentral:rRNA from 1 species
UGCAAGUCGAGCGGCAGCACGGGGAGCUUGCUCCCUGGUGGCGAGCGGCGGACGGGUGAGUAAUGCAUAGGAAUCUGCCCGGUAGUGGGGGAUAACGUGGGGAAACCCACGCUAAUACCGCAUACGUCCUACGGGAGAAAGCGGAGGAUCUUCGGACUUCGCGCUAUCGGAUGAGCCUAUGUCGGAUUAGCUAGUUGGUAAGGUAACGGCUUACCAAGGCGACGAUCCGUAGCUGGUCUGAGAGGAUGAUCAGCCACACUGGGACUGAGACACGGCCCAGACUCCUACGGGAGGCAGCAGUGGGGAAUAUUGGACAAUGGGCGAAAGCCUGAUCCAGCCAUGCCGCGUGUGUGAAGAAGGCUUUCGGGUUGUAAAGCACUUUCAGCGAGGAAGAAGGCCUCUGGGUUAAUACCCCAGAGGAAGGACAUCACUCGCAGAAGAAGCACCGGCUAACUCCGUGCCAGCAGCCGCGGUAAUACGGAGGGUGCGAGCGUUAAUCGGAAUUACUGGGCGUAAAGCGCGCGUAGGUGGCUUGGCACGCCGGUUGUGAAAGCCCCGGGCUCAACCUGGGAACGGCAUCCGGAACGGCCAGGCUAGAGUGCAGGAGAGGAAGGUAGAAUUCCCGGUGUAGCGGUGAAAUGCGUAGAGAUCGGGAGGAAUACCAGUGGCGAAGGCGGCCUUCUGGCCUGACACUGACACUGAGGUGCGAAAGCGUGGGUAGCAAACAGGAUUAGAUACCCUGGUAGUCCACGCCGUAAACGAUGUCGACUAGCCGUUGGGACCUUUAAGGACUUAGUGGCGCAGUUAACGCGAUAAGUCGACCGCCUGGGGAGUACGGCCGCAAGGUUAAAACUCAAAUGAAUUGACGGGGGCCCGCACAAGCGGUGGAGCAUGUGGUUUAAUUCGAUGCAACGCGGAAGAACCUUACCUACCCUUGACAUCCAGAGA